rnacentral:rRNA from 1 species
UACGAAGGGGGCUAGCGUUGCUCGGAAUCACUGGGCGUAAAGCGCACGUAGGCGGACUCUUAAGUCAGGGGUGAAAUCCCGAGGCUCAACCUCGGAACUGCCUUUGAUACUGGGGAUCUCGAGUCCGGGAGAGGUGAGUGGAACUGCGAGUGUAGAGGUGAAAUUCGUAGAUAUUCGCAAGAACACCAGUGGCGAAGGCGGCUCACUGGCCCGGAACUGACGCUGAGGUGCGAAAGCGUGGGGAGCAAACAGG